AUGGGGAAGGCGUGAUCGAGAGGACAGAGGAGGGAGUUCAAGGCCGGUUUUAGUCGGAGUCACCGAUGGGGCCGCCUAAGGGCCGGGCCGCGCGGUUCUCAUCCGCCUAGACCGCCCGACAGGCCGCUGGGGCCGGCGAUGCCCUCUCGGAGCCGCUGUGGUCCUGCUGGGAGGGCGCGUCCGCGAGGUCUUCGUGGUCACUGUGCGAGCGGCCUUUGUGACGUUUCUCCCGAAGGAAAAGGGUUCUUGCUGUUGGGAGUGGCCCAGACUCCGCCUUGUUCCUCGAGGCCUCCGGGAUCCUGCCGUAGGUGGACUUCACCGUCACUCUCCCAGGAUGGCAGCCAUUGACUUGACCCAGGAUCUUCUUUCUAGGAAUCCUCCUUUCUCCCAUCCUGAGGAAAACACAGAGGUAGAAAGGAUGGUGGCUGUCUGGCCGAAAAAUUAUAAUCAGGUAAUAAAAAAGCAUAUCAAUCAACAGAAUGCGAUACUUAUAUCCACCGGGUGGACACCUUCC
rnacentral:lncRNA from 1 species